rnacentral:rRNA from 1 species
GAUGAACGCUGGCGGCGUGCUUAACACAUGCGAGUCGAACGAAGCAUUUGCGACAGAUUUUUUCGGAAUGAAGUUGCUUAUGACUGAGUGGCGGACGGGUGAGUAACGCGUGGGUAACCUGCCUUGUACUGGGGGAUAGCAGCUGGAAACGGCUGGUAAUACCGCAUAAGCGCACAAUGUUGCAUGACAUGGUGUGAAAAACUCCGGUGGUAUAAGAUGGACCCGCGUCUGAUUAGCUAGUUGGUGAGAUAACAGCCCACCAAGGCGACGAUCAGUAGCCGACCUGAGAGGGUGACCGGCCACAUUGGGACUGAGACACGGCCCAGACUCCUACGGGAGGCAGCAGUGGGGAAUACUGCACAAUGGAGGAAACUCUGAUGCAGCGACGCCGCGUGAGUGAAGAAGUAAUUCGUUAUGUAAAGCUCUAUCAGCAGGGAAGAUAGUGACGGUACCUGACUAAGAAGCUCCGGCUAAAUACGUG